GAUGAACGCUGGCGGCGUGCCUAAUACAUGCAAGUCGAGCGAACAGACGAGGAGCUUGCUCCUCUGACGUUAGCGGCGGACGGGUGAGUAACACGUGGAUAACCUACCUAUAAGACUGGGAUAACUUCGGGAAACCGGAGCUAAUACCGUAUAAUAUAUUGAACCGCAUGGUUCAAUAGUGAAAGACGGUUUUGCUGUCACUUAUAGAUGGAUCCGCGCCGCAUUAGCUAGUUGGUAAGGUAACGGCUUACCAAGGCAACGAUGCGUAGCCGACCUGAGAGGGUGAUAGGCCACACUGGAACGGAGACACGGUCCAGAGGCCUAAGGGAGGCAGCAGUAGGGAAUCUUCCGCAAUGGGCGAAAGCAUGACGGAGCAACGCCGCGUGAGUGAUGAAGGUCUUCGGAUCGUAAAACUCUGUUAUUAGGGAAGAACAAAUGUGUAAGUAACUAUGCACGUCUUGACGGUACCUAAUCAGAAAGCAACGGCUAACUACGUG
rnacentral:rRNA from 1 species